rnacentral:rRNA from 1 species
GGGCCCGCACAAGCAGUGGAUUAUGUGGUUUAAUUCGAAGCAACGCGAAGAACCUUACCAGGUCUUGACAUCGAGUGACGUACCUAGAGAUAGGUAUUUCCUUCGGGACACGAAGACAGGUGGUGCAUGGUUGUCGUCAGCUCGUGUCGUGAGAUGUUGGGUUAAGUCCCGCAACGAGCGCAACCCCUGCCAUUAGUUGCUACGCAAGAGCACUCUAAUGGGACCGCCGCCGACAAGGUGGAGGAAGGUGGGGACGACGUCAAAUCAUCAUGCCCCUUAUGACCUGGGCUACACACGUAAUACAAUGGCCGUUAACAACGAGAAGCAAAGCCGCGAGGUGGAGCAAAUCUCCAAAAACGGUCUCAGUUCGGAUUGCAGGCUGCAACUCGCCUGCAUGAAGUUGGAAUUGCUAGUAAUCGUGGAUCAGCACGCCGCGGUGAAUACGUUCCCGGGCCUU